UACGGGGGGGGCAAGCGUUGUUCGGAAUUACUGGGCGUAAAGGGCGCGUAGGCGGCCUUCUAAGUCGGACGUGAAAUCCCUCGGCUUAACCGAGGAACUGCGUCCGAUACUGAAAGGCUUGAAUCCGGGAGAGGGAUGUGGAAUUCCAGGUGUAGCGGUGAAAUGCGUAGAUAUCAGGAGGAAUACCGGUGGCGAAAGCGACUCUCUGGACGGCAACUGACGCUGAGGCACGAAAGCGUGGGGAGCAAACAGG
rnacentral:rRNA from 1 species